GGGAAAGUGACUGUUCCAAUAUUACACUGCUGGAACCUAAGCCUCAAGUCCCACCCUUUCUUGUAAUUCUUCCAUCCUUAAAUUUGUGCCUCAGAUACACAUGAUACCAUCCCACACGUUAUAAAUAUUACCCACAUACACUGAUGAUGUCCCUAGGAAGUAGAUUCUAAUCUGAUCUCCACUAUUCAGGUUGGCAAACGAGAAUACUUGAGAGACAAAAUGAGUUAGGAAAAAGAGCUGGGAAAACAAAGGUCUGAAUUCAUCUGUGUGUCCUCGAAGUUAGGACUUUAGUUACAUUUCCAUAGAGUUGUGGCUUUGGCACUUUUGGCUCAUUUUUUACAGUUAAGGAGAUGACAUGGGGGAGAAGGUAAGAAGUCAACUGUCAAGAAGGGGCUCUGGAUAGGUCUAAAUGAACAAAGGAGCCUAGGUGCUGGAAUCUUGAAAAAGUGACCUCACGUCAUUGGUGAUACACCCCAACUGAACUUAGAACUCUGGUUGCACCCACAUUCUAGAGACAGCCUGUUUUCCAGAUCACUUCACCAGAGAUGUUCAAAAGAACAAGAUGUUCUACUGCUGUAUUCCUACCUUCAGAGGGUCUGGCCUGAAGAAAGUCCAGAGUGAGAGAUUUUUAUGUCACUGUACACAUCGGCUCAGUCCACUUCUCCAAAGCUUCUGGUCAAGUGGCGGGAGACACCAACAGUUCCCUAAGGGAUGGGAGUCUCUGGUCUGAGCAACGGAUCCUGAUCUUUCUGGUGGCUCAUGGUGUUGAAGCUGACUACAUUGCCCCCCCUUGUCUACAUGGUAUGAAAAGGGAAUCAACACUGUCUCUGGAAGAGGCUUCUACAAGAUGCUGACACUCAAGGAAGGCACAAUGGAGAAUUUCAUACAGACCCUGGUACCAUCCUUCCAGGAUAGAAACAUCUCAAACAUCACAACCAUUUCCUGCAUAUACCAGGUGUUCACCACAGCCCAACAGGUCCUGGGUCAGCAGUUCAAUAGGAACAGGCAUCUAAAUUUGCCACCCUGGUGAUGGACCACCAGAGAGCCCAGAAGAGGCUGAAGAAGACGUCCUGAAGUACAUACAGGUCCUAAGGUACAGGGCCUCCAAAGUCAAAAGAGAGGGGCUCCUCCCUGACAACUGGAAGCCUCUAAAUCAAGACAGGUGGGACCUUCCGACUUGAUCUCCACCUCCUGUUGCAACAGCUUCUAAAAUUAUUUCAAAGUGAUCAGGAUGAGGGUCCAUAAAGCAUGAUAGAGAAUGGACUUGUGGAUGGGGAGGGGCUCAGGGCUACAUAAUGGUGUGAUUUUCUAAAAGCAGGCCUUGGCAGUGACUAAGAGGAGUCUGAUGUUCUUGGAGGGUGAGGGGAGGCUGCUAAGAGUACUACGUGUUCCACGUGGGAACCUGGGGUGGGCCAGGAGGCUGAAACAUUUUCAGGGGAGAGUCGCUGUGAACUCAUCCUACCCCCACCCCCAUGACACAGGGUUCGUCCCUUCCUUGGCACUUUCCUCACUGACCUGGUGUUGCUGGACAUUGCAAUGGGGAACUAUCUGGAGGUGGGUGAGCCUGAGGAUUGUUGAGGAGGGACCAGAAUUUUGACAUUUGGGAGCAGAGGCCCUGUACUGAGCCCUGAGCUCUCAGUACUUGGCAAACCUCUCCUCAUGAUAGCUUCACAUGUGAGCUGGUGUUUCUUCCCCAUCUCAGUGAUGAGUGAAGGGAGGCUGCACUUAGGACAGUGUUCCCAGUGCCCAAAACUAGUGAAGCAGCAGAACUGCCUGAAUGAAAAACUGCCUGAAUGCCAGGGGAAGGGUUAGGGUGAUGGUCCGGGAGAUCAUAAGAGUCUACAGGGUGGCAGCGUGGACACCUGUCCUGAGGCCCGAGUUGAGGUGGAGCGACAGUGUGGAAGUCAGGGUUAGGGGUUGUUUUCCGGGCCUAGACACAUUGUGUUUGUGAGGGUC